rnacentral:rRNA from 1 species
UGGGGAAUUUUGGACAAUGGGCGCAAGCCUGAUCCAGCAAUGCCGCGUGCAGGAUGAAGGCCUUCGGGUUGUAAACUGCUUUUGUACGGAACGAAAAAGCUCUCUCUAAUACAGGGGGUGAAUGACGGUACCGUAAGAAUAAGCACCGGCUAACUACGCGCCAGCAGCCGCGGUAAUACGUAGGGUGCAAGCGUUAAUCGGAAUUACUGGGCGUAAAGCGUGCGCAGGCGGUUUUGUAAGACAGAGGUGAAAUCCCCGGGCUCAACCUGGGAACUGCCUUUGUGACUGCAAAGCUGGAGUGCGGCAGAGGGGGAUGGAAUUCCGCGUGUAGCAGUGAAAUGCGUAGAUAUGCGGAGGAACACCGAUGGCGAAGGCAAUCCCCUGGGCCUGCACUGACGCUCAUGCACGAAAGCGUGGGGAGCAAACA